rnacentral:rRNA from 1 species
AGAGUUUGAUCCUGGCUCAGGACGAACGCUGGCGGCGUGCCUAACACAUGCAAGUCGAACGAAGCAUCUUACCAGAUUCUUCGGAUGAAAGUUUGGUGACUGAGUGGCGGACGGGUGAGUAACGCGUGGGUAACCUGCCCUGUACAGGGGGAUAACAGCUGGAAACGGCUGCUAAUACCGCAUAAGCGCACGAGGAGACAUCUCCUUGUGUGAAAAACUCUGGUGGUACAGGAUGGGCCCGCGUCUGAUUAGCUGGUUGGCGGGGUAACGGCCUACCAAGGCAACGAUCAGUAGCCGGUCUGAGAGGAUGAACGGCCACAUUGGAACUGAGACACGGUCCAAACUCCUACGGGAGGCAGCAGUGGGGAAUAUUGCACAAUGGGGGAAACCCUGAUGCAGCAACGCCGCGUGAGUGAAGAAGUAUUUCGGUAUGUAAAGCUCUAUCAGCAGGGAAGAUAAUGACGGUACCUGACUAAGAAGCUCCGGCUAGAUACGUGCCAGCCGCCGCGGUAAUAC